GAAGAUAUGAGUACAUUUCAAUAAAUAUGAAAUCUUUACUGCAAUAGAUAUUCUUACCUUUAAUAGUAUAGGGAUAGGCUAUCGCAUAUGGGUUGUAAAGUCCUUACUCUCCGCCUGUGGUUCUUGCUAGUCACAACAUUGAUCGUGCUCGUAUGUAUGGAAUUGGGAACAUGUCAGCAGCAUAACGAUGGAAGACUGAGAGAACAAGGCGACCAAAAUCUGUUGGAGAAACUGAUUGAAUAUGUGUUGUUAAAAGAUGAAUAGAUCAAAAACGUUUUCAUAAAAGAAAAAAGUUGGAUGUCUUUAAAAGACUUAUUGUUUUGCUAUAAAGAACCCACAUUUGAAUAAAACACAAUAUUGUUAAAUGUUA